UUCUAUUAGAUAUAAUAAUUAAUAGUAAAAUCUGCUCAAUGAUAUAUUAAAUAGCCGCAUAUGUGCUAAGGUAGCAUAAUAAUUUGUCUUUUAAAUGAAGACUAGAAUGAAUGAUUAAACAUUUUAAUUUAUUUCUAUAUUAUAUACAAUAAAAUUUACACUAAAUAUAAAAAUGUAUUUAUAAAAAAGAAAGACGACAAGACCCUAUCGAACUUAACUACAGUUAAACUGGGGUAGUAAAAUAAGUAUUAUUUUCAAUUAAAUUAAUAAUUAAUAAUCUUGACCUAAAAACUUUAAUAUAAAGAUCAAUGUUACCGUAGGGAUAACAGCACAAUAAAUUUUUAAAGAUCUUAUAUACAAAUUAAUUUGUGACCUCGAUGUUGAAUAAUAACCUAUUACUAAUGCAAAAGUUAGAUAAGGAAGUCUGUUCGACUUUAAAAUAAUUACA
rnacentral:rRNA from 1 species